rnacentral:tmRNA from 1 species
UGGCGAUAAAAGCAAUCGCGAAUUUGAGAAUGAAAUGAUCAAACCAGAAGGGGCACGAAACGCUGUUCCUUCUUAUACGACUGAAGAAAUAAUUGCUGAAGCUGAAAAGCUUUACGCAUUUGUUCAGAAGAAAGAUUAAGAUAUAACCUUGUAUAUCGCAAAUUUAUUUAAGCAUUGUGGACGCGGGUUCGAUUCCCGCCGCCUCCACCA